rnacentral:rRNA from 1 species
UUAAGACCUAGUAAUAGGUAUGCUUUAGGAGGGGCUUGCGCCAUAUUAGUUAGUUGGUAGGGUAAUGGCCUACCAAGACGAUGAUGUGUAGCUGGACUGAGAGGUUGAACAGCCACAUUGGGACUGAGACACGGCCCAAACUCCUACGGGAGGCAGCAGUAGGGAAUUUUCGGCAAUGGAGGAAACUCUGACCGAGCAACGCCGCGUGAAUGACGAAGUACUUCGGUAUGUAAAGUUCUUUUAUCAAGGAAGAAAAGCAAAUGGCGAACCAUUUGUUUGCCGGUACUUGAUGAAUAAGCCCCGGCUAAUUAUGUGCCAGCAGCCGCGGUAAGACAUAAGGGGCAAGUGUUAUCCGGAAUUAUUGGGCGUAAAGGGUGCGUAGGCGGUCUAGUAAGUCAGUGGUGUAAUGGCAACGCUUAACGUUGUCCGGCUAUUGAAACUGCUAAACUUGAGUUAGAUAGAGGCGAGUGGAAUUCCAUGUGUAGCGGUAAAAUGCGUAAAUAUAUGGAGGAACACCAGAGGCGUAGGCGGCUCGCUGGGUCUUAACUGACGCUGAGGCACGAAAGCGUGGGGAGCAAACAGGAUUAGAUACCCUGGUAGUCCACGCCGUAAACGAUGAGUACUAAGUGUCGGGUUAAACCGGUACUGAAGUUAACACAUUAAGUACUCCGCCUGAGUAGUACGUACGCAAGUAUGAAACUUAAAGGAAUUGACGGGACUCCGCACAAGCGGUGGAUCAUGUUGUUUAAUUCGAAGAUACCCGAAAAACCUUACCAGGUCUUGACAUGUUUUUGCAAAAUGAUAGUAAUAUCGUGGAGGUUACCAGAAACACAGGUGGUGCAUGGUUGUCGUCAGCUCGUGUCGUGAGAUGUUAGGUUAAGUCCUAAAACGAGCGAAACCCUUAUCGUUAGUUGCCAGCACGUUAUGGUGGGGACUUUAACGAGACUGCCAAUGAUAAAUUGGAGGAAGGUGAGGAUCACGUCAAAUCAGCAUGCCCCUUAUGACCUGGGCUACAAACGUGAUACAAUGGCUGUUACAAAGGGUAGCUGAAACGCAAGUUCUUGGCCAAUCCCCAAAAACAGUCCCAGUCCGGAUUGAAGUCUGCAACUCGACUUCAUGAAGUUGGAAUCGCUAGUAAUCGCGAAU